GAUGAAAAACGUAGCGAAAUGCGAUAAGUAGUGUGAAUUGCAGAAUUCAGUGAAUCAUCGAAUCUUUGAACGCACAUUGCGCCCCUUGGUAUUCCAUGGGGCAUGCCUGUUCGAGCGUCAUUUGUACCUUCAAGCUCUGCUUGGUGUUGGGUGUUUGUCUCGCCUCUGCGUGUAGACUCGCCUCAAAACAAUUGGCAGCCGGCGUAUUGAUUUCGGAGCGCAGUACAUCUCGCGCUUUGCACUCAUAACGACGACGUCCAAAAGUACAUUUUUACACUCUUGACCUCGGAUCAGGUAGGGAUACCCGCUGAACUUAAGCAUAUCAAUAAGCGGAGGA
rnacentral:misc_RNA from 1 species